GCAGUCGCCGCGGUAAUACGUAGGUGGCAAGCGUUGUCCGGAAUUAUUGGGCGUAAAGGGCUCGCAGGCGGCACGAUUAGUCAGGCGUGAAAUUCCCGAGCUCAACUUGGGAACUGCGUUUGGAACUGUUUAACUAGAGUGCGUCAGAGGGGGGUGGAAUUCCGCGUGUAGCAGUGAAAUGCGUAGAGAUGCGGAGGAACACCGAUGGCGAAGGCAGCCCCCUGGGAUGACACUGACGCUCAUGCACGAAAGCGUGGGGAGUAAACAGGAUUAGAUACCCCCGUAGUCCCUGUCUCUUAUAA
rnacentral:rRNA from 1 species